rnacentral:lncRNA from 1 species
CUGGUCAGUCACCCAAUGCAUAGUUUCCCAAACUUGUUUUGGUUUGUGGCAUAGUGCUACACAGCGGAUUCAAGUUUGGGAAACCCUGAACUAGUGAGCGCACCAUUUUACAAUGGGGCCGCGGGCUGAACAUCAAUUUGUAAAUGCAGAUGUUUUUGUACUCAACAUAAAGGGGAAAAUGACUCCACGUUGCAUAAUGCGUGUGUUGUUUACAUGGAUAAAAGCAGCAUAAUGUUUAACUAACACUGGACAAAGAAAUAACCACAUGUACAAGCAUAGAAUACGAACGAAAAUCCAUCUACUUCACUAAAUUAACUGAAUAAUAUACCUCUUUCUUUGUCCUCUGCUUUAGAUGGUGACAGGUCAGCACAGUCGCCUGGGUCCGGUGGGUUGCGAGUUCGGCAGUUGGGGAUUUCGAAGCUGCGACAUUGUUGUUGAUGUCUGCAAGGCGCGUGGGGUUGUUUCUCUGCGUUUUUUGGCGCGGUUGUUGGUGUGUCCGCUGCAACCCUGACGUUGUUGAACGCAAUUUUCUCCCACCUUUCUUCAACAGUGCUUGCCUUGUUUUGCCUAGGCUUGCCCCGACGUGGUAGGAAGUCAAAACGGGUGGCUUAUUGUUUUCAAAGUUGUCCAGAUUUGGUUCUAUAUUUAUUAGUGAUUCGCCCAACAUGACUUCAAAGUGGAGAGGGUAGGACACAUCAACGAUACUAGCUAUUUUUAUUUUUGCGAAAGUGGACCCGGGAAGAGUUGCAGGGGAAAGAAGAGAACAAUGUGCCUAUUUGAAAGCUAGAAAAAAGUGAGUAGCUCACGACAUGUUUCAUUAGUAGCUCUCAUGCUAGAAAAGGUUGGAUACCUCUGGGCUACACUAUGUAGCUACUUCCAUCUCCUUAAUGUGGCAAGCGGGAGUGAAGGACACUAGUGUGCCCGGUGUUGUUGUGUUGCCUGCUUGCAGCGCAAACUCACCCCAUUGAGCAGUGUUUAUCUGCAGGCCUAUCACGGUGACAUCCAAAUUGUUACUACCAAUAUUACAAGUUAUUUAUCUGUAUUCUGUAUAGGCUUCUAUCCUACUCAAAAUAAAAUGAAUUGGGAUGGAACAAAUUGGAGAUGAUGUCCAAAUACAGAUGGUGACCAAUACUACAAGUUAUUUCUCCCUCGCCCAUAGAAAUAAACCUCACUUUAUUUUACAAGUUUUAACUGGCGCAUUUUCUUGCCAGCAUAAACUUGCUGGGAGGGCUCAUCAGGACGACUGACUGAACCGAAUACAUUCGUCUCCACACUUGACUCUCAGCUGCGCAACCAACAUAAUCGAUUUGGGCACCAGACAUGUCUGUAUAGCCCAGGGAUCAUCAACUAGAUCUAAGCGAGGUUUGAAAUGAUUGUUUUAGUCAAUUAUUAUAUAUGUUUGGACUUCUUGCGGUCAAUUUGAAGUCUACAAAUGAUUUGUAAUUAUGUAAUUAUGUUCCGGCCCCCUGACCAUCUGUCUAGUUGAUGAUCCCUGGGCUAUACGGACACGCCUGGAGUUUUUUCUUGGGCAGAUGGUCAGGGGGCCGGAACGUAAAUACAAAUAAUUCGUAGACUGCACAUUGACCGCAAGAACCCAAAACAUAUAUAAUACUCUGUCACUGUUUUGUUGACCCAUCCUCAGUUUUCUCAUAUCACAACCAUUAAACUCUGUAACUGUUUUAAAAUCACCAUUGCCCUCAUGGUGAAAUCCCUGGUUUUCUUCCUCUCCGGCAACUGAGUACGGAAGUAUACCUGUAUUUUUGUAGUUACUGGGUGUAUUGAUACACCAUCCAAAGCCUAAUUAAUAACUUCACCAUGCUCAAAGGGAU